rnacentral:rRNA from 1 species
UACAGAGGGUGCGAGCGUUAAUCGGAAUUACUGGGCGUAAAGCGCACGUAGGUGGCGCCGUAAGUCGGGUUCGAAAGCCCCGGGCUCAACCUGGGAAUUGCAUUCGAGACUGCAUUGCUGGAGUACGGAAGAGGAAGGCGGAAUUCCCGGUGUAGCGGUGAAAUGCGUAGAUAUCGGGAGGAACAUCAGUGGCGAAGGCGGCCUUCUGGUCCAGUACUGACACUCAAGUGCGAAAGCGUGGGGAGCAAACAGG